UAUACAACUGUAUACGCACCUGCCUUGCGGGUCCCUGGUUACACGGACGUUUGCACGCCAUGGACGGAACGAGGCAGAGCCGUGGCUCGACAUGUCGCUGGCGUCCUGAUCCGUGGAUCAGAUCCGGCGCUGGCCGGUAACGGCGGUAGUGACUGGAGUUAAUGCGCUAGAGGGGUUGGUCGUUGGCAGCAUCUACCUCCUACCUCCAGACCUCGCUUCCUCCAUUGCCGAGAGCGGCGACCCCGUGGAGAAAUCUGGUGCAACAAGGCGACGACCCGCUGAGGGAAGCAUGGAAUUCUUGAUGCAGCAGGACUUUGCUAGAAGAGGUGAACGGGAACAACCUGAUCAUGGAGAGGCACCGUGAGGACGCCGCCGGUCGUAGAGCUGCCGGCCAGGACGGUGUCGAGUGCUGAUGGCCAGAUUUGUGCCGAGGGCGCUGAUCCAGGGGCAGGCAGUGCAGACAAACCUCAAGCUUCAGAGCACUCCAUCUAGCAAGUUGACCAAAAAACAUCUGGAUGGACGCAAAGGUCUGAAUUGGGGCUGCCGCACUAGGCAGAGGCGGUUCGGAAUCAGAUAUGGGAAGAGCAGGCUGAACGUCUACCGGACAAUGCAUGCAAGAGAUAGUAUGUGGCUGCACGGGGAAACCAAUAGUUGAAAAUACACACACUUGUCGGUGUGAGUGCCCUGGCCUUACAAGAUUGCUGCGUUCGAAGGACAAUGGGUGGUACAUAGCGGAGCAUCGUGAUGAGCACAACCAUUUGUUGUCCCCCUCCUAUGGACACACAAUACACUGGCCAUCGCACAAGCAUAUCAACAUGUACAGCAGGGAUCUAGUUAAGCAAUUGUGGCAGAACAGUUAACCUUGCAAAGGUGUACAGCAUAACUGGGAGCUUCUUUGGCAGGAUGGAAAAUGUACCAGUUCACGAAAAGAGCAUUGCGUAGUCUGUGUGGCAAAAUUAGUCGUGAGCAAGCAGAAGAUGACGCCAGGAAAGCAAAAGCAAAGGUGUACAGCAUAAUUGCUUCCAGGAACUAUGCUCAAAGGAUCCACAGUUCACAUGUCGAGUUCAGGCGGACAAAGAAGGAAGGAUCAACACUGUAAUGUGGGCAACUGGCAGCAGCAAAUUGCAGUACAACUUCUUCCGAGAUGUAGUAACAUUUGAUACAACCUACAGGGCCAAUCUAUAUGACAUGCGGUUUGGUCUUUUUGUGGCUGUUAACAACCAUUUUCAGAGCAUUAUACUAGCUGGUGUGCUGGUUCGUGAUGAGAAGGUUGAAACAUUUGAGUGGGUUUUCGCAUAAUUUAUCAGGAUAAGGGGCGGUACUGCUCCACAAAAAGGUAUCAUGAUCUGAAUUGCUAUGUGAAUCAUAUUAAAACUUCCUCCUGUAGAUCAUUACAGACCUGACACUGAAAUGAUGUGUUUGAUUUUCAUAUCAAAAUCGAGCAAUGGUAGUAGCAAUAAAAAAUUUGAUGCCAGACACAA